rnacentral:rRNA from 1 species
AUUGAACGCUGGCGGCAUGCCUUACACAUGCAAGUCGGACGGCAGCGGGGGAGAAGCUUGCUUUUCCUGCCGGCGAGUGGCGAACGGGUGAGUAAUACAUCGGAACGUGCCCUGUAGUGGGGGAUAACUAGUCGAAAGAUUAGCUAAUACCGCAUACGACCUGAGGGUGCAAGUGGGGGACCGCAAGGCCUCAUGCUAUAGGAGCGGCCGAUGUCUGAGUAGCGAGUUGGGGGGGUAAAGGCUUACCAAGGCGACGAUCAGGUGCUGGUCUGAGAGGACGAUCAGCCACACUGGGACUGAGACACGGCCCAGACUCCUACGGGAGGCAGCAGUGGGGAAUUUUGGGCAAUUGGCGAAAGCCUGAUCCAGCAAUGCGGCGUGUGUGAAGAAGGCCUUCGGGUUGUAAAGCACUUUUGUCCGGAAAGAAAUGGCUCAGGUUAAUACCUGGGGUCGAUGACGGUACCGGAAGAAUAAGGACCGGCUAACUACGUGCCAGCCGCCGCCGUAA